rnacentral:rRNA from 1 species
CGCGCGAUUGGAGCGGCCGAUGUCAGAUUAGGUAGUUGGUGGGGUAAAGGCCCACCAAGCCGACGAUCUGUAGCUGGUCUGAGAGGACGACCAGCCACACUGGGACUGAGACACGGCCCAGACUCCUACGGGAGGCAGCAGUGGGGAAUUUUGGACAAUGGGCGCAAGCCUGAUCCAGCCAUGCCGCGUGCGGGAAGAAGGCCUUCGGGUUGUAAACCGCUUUUGUCAGGGAAGAAACGCUCCGGGCUAAUACCCUGGGGUAAUGACGGUACCUGAAGAAUAAGCACCGGCUAACUACGUGCCAGCAGCCGCGGUAAUACGUAGGGUGCAAGCGUUAAUCGGAAUUACUGGGCGUAAAGCGUGCGCAGGCGGUUCUAUAAGACAGAGGUGAAAUCCCCGGGCUCAACCUGGGAACUGCCUUUGUGACUGUAGGGCUAGAGUGCGGCAGAGGGGGAUGGAAUUCCGCGUGUAGCAGUGAAAUGCGUAGAUAUGCGGAGGAACACCGAUGGCGAAGGCAAUCCCCUGGGCCUGCACUGACGCUCAUGCACGAAAGCGUGGGGAGCAAACAGGAUUAGAU